rnacentral:lncRNA from 1 species
UCUCUGUCUGUGUUCAUACAGUUCAUCCAUUGAGACAAGAGAUGAAGAAGAAGAAGACACAGAGGUAAGUAAACUACAAUGUCUCUAAUCCGAAACCCUAGAUCACCCACCUCUCUUCUCAACUGGGUCUCCCACAAAGUCUCCACCUUUAAAAAACCCCAACCUCCCAUAAACCCUAGAAGAUCUCUCUCCUCCACCACCACCUCGAAACUCCCCAGAAACGAGAUUCGCAGACUAACCCAACUCGCCAUGUUCGACUACUUCUACAACAACAGAGGCCUUCAGUUCCUAAUCGCCGAGAGCCUGAGCAAAAACGCUCCUCUAUUCAACGACACCCUCCUCAACAAGCUUCACAACGAUUCUGCUUCUUGUGGUGAUGACGUCAUCAGAUCCAUCACUAAGUUCCUUCUUUACCACCCUGUGAACGAGUUCGAGCCUUUCUUCGAGAGCUUAGGUUUAAAACCCUCUGAGUUCAGCCCUCUCGUGCCUUGCGAUAAGAUGUUUUUGAACGAAGAUGCGUUCUUGUUGGAGAAUUAUCAUGUCUUUUGGAACUAUGGGAUUGGUCGGGAGAAGAUGGGGAAGAUCUUUAAGGAAGCUAGGGAGGUGUUCGGUUACGAGAGUGGUGUCUUAGCUUCAAAGAUUGAAUCUUUAGAGCGUUUGGGGUUUGGGAAGGUGUUUGUCUCCAAGCUCAUCGUUUGUACCCCGAGGGUGCUGACUGGUGAGACGAUAUUAGAAAUGGUCAGCGUUGUAGACACUGUUGGUUCGGAUUGGGUGUUGGAGAAUUUAUCAGAGGGAGGCUCUUAUGACUGGAGAUGCAUCCAUAGGUGUUUAGCCUUUCUUAGAGAGUUAUGUGGAGGAGACGAGAGUGAGGUACUAGAGUUAAUCAAGAACCGGCCCGGGCUGGUUCUGGAGGAGUCUGGAGAGUGGACAAUGAUCUUAGCUGGGUUUCAGACGAAGCUAGGUUGUUCCAGAAGUGAGUUGGUUAUGAGACUCCCUCCCCAGAGUAGUCAGGAGGUAGGGAAGUGUGUUUCGAAUCUACGGCAUUGCUUUUUGUUCCUGAGAGGUAUCAAGAUGGAGGCUUAUGAGAUAGGCAAGGUGUUUCGUAACCACUCUCACUGGCUUGGAGAGUCUCGUUUGAAGCACACUAGUACCUUUCUUAAUAAUCUGAAAGGCGGGAAGAAGCGGCUUUGUCAGGUGAUUCAGGAGAAUCCGGAGGAGAUGAAGAAAUGGACUAUGGGGUUGAGAGUAACGCCGUUGCCAGGGACUGAUGUGGUGGACGUAGUCGGCUCCAAAGCGAUGAAGACUCAGUUUUUGUUGGAGCUCGGAUACGAGGAGAAGGAGAUGGAGAAGGCCCUCAGGUGUUUUCGAGGGAGAGGGUCUGAGCUUAAGGAGAGGUUUGAGUUUCUUAAGAGCUUGGGGUUGAGUGAAGGGGAGGCUAAGGAGAUGGUGAAGGCGUCUCCUGAUGUGCUGACGCAGGCGAGCGAUGUGUUGGAAGCAAAGGUUGAUUACCUUGUGAAUGAGUUGGGGUACCCGCUUUCGACUCUGGUGGCUUUUCCUUCGUGUCUUAAGUACACGCUUGAAAGGAUGAAGGUAAGGUUUGCAAUGUAUAAUUGGUUGCAAGAGAGAGGGAAGGCGGAUGCGAAGCUGGCGAUAAGUACCAUUCUUGUGUACUCUGAUAAGUCGUUUGUGAAGAGGUUUGUGAACCGUCACCCUGAUGGUGCUAAGUAUUUUGAGGAGUUGAAGAAGAGUGCUUCUUUGUGAGUAUAUAGAAGAAGAAAGUUUAUCAAGAUGUGGUUUCUAACCUUUGAUGAAGACAAUUUUUGUGGACCAGUAACUUCAAAUCUCUCUGUAAUGAUUUGCUAUGUAAUGUUUCCACAAGCUCAAUAGCAAUUUUGGAUCAAAUUAAAAUUGUUACUAUAAUUAGCCAAGGGUUCCACAUGAGCUUGUUCUCAGGGUUUAGCAUCAAGGUCCAAGGAAAAUCCAAAAGAAUUCAAACUAAAAAAUAUAAGAGAAUAUUCACACUAAUUUGUAAACUAAAAAAAUAUAAGAGAAUAUUCAAACUAGUUUGCAAACUAAAAAAUAUAAGAGAAUAUUCAAUCUAAUUUGCAAACUAAAAAAAUAUAAAAGAAUAUUCUUUUUUUUUAUUGUGAAACAGAGAAUAUUCAAACGAAUUUACAAACAAAAUAUUCUUGGUACAUUUUCAAAAUGUGUUUGAUCGAUUGGCUAGCAACGCUUGAGAGGCGCCCCACAUAGACAGAGGUUGUUGGAGAACUCAUAGACCUCGAAGUUCUGUAUCAGACCUCCCUGUGGUAUGGACCCACAUAGACGGUUGAAACUUAUGUUAAAUUGGUUAAGUUGGAGCUUGGUCAGCUCCAAAGGAAGCUCUCCGAAAACUCUGUUAUGGCUAAGGUCCAAUGACACCAAGCUCUUGGCCAGUUUGACCUUUGAGAGAUCAAAGUGGAAGUUGUUCCGAGACAAGUCUAACCUUACGGUUGUUUUGUUAUGUCCAAAGAACAUUGAAGCAUCUCCACCGAAGUUGUUUCCUGACAAACUCACGGUGUUGAAGUUGGUUUUCGAUAAUGACUUUGGUAUUUCUCCUGCAUUACAAAUUACAAUUAAAUCAACAUAAUCAAUUUAUGUAUAUCAUUCCUUAUUACUAAUGUUCUAUAAAUCGGUUUAAACGGUUCUAAAAUGAUUGUUUUUUAAAUCGGUCUAGGUGGCAUGCAAUAUACAAACAUCCAGUUAGACAUUAAUCCUAUAUAAAACAUCUAAUUACUGCCUAUUGAUUUCUUAAACAUUUGAUUAUUAUAUAUCUAGGCUAAGGAAAAAAUCUUAGGCAAUAACUUGAGUGACAAAUUUUACCUGAGAGGUGAUUAUUACCUAAGUAGAGUUUUGGGAUCUUUCCAGCAAAGGAACCGAAAGAUUCCGGUAUAGAACCGGUUAACUUGUUAUGACUGAGCUGUAUGGUCUCAAGUCUAUGCAUCUGAGAAAUCGAACCAGGUAUUGAACCGUUGAACCGGUUAAAGGAGAGGUCCAAGAAAGUAACGUUCUGAAGCUGGCUGAUGUAAUCAGGGACUGGACCAGAGAGUUCGGUUAUCCUAAACCGAAGGUAGACUAGAUUCUUGAGCUUGGUGAUAGAGCGUGGAAUGGUGCCUCUGAGUCGAGAGAGACUGCUCAAGUCUAGGAUAACGAGGUCAGUAAGGUCUCCUAUCUCCUCAGCUAUCUGACCAACGACGUCUCCUGCAGAUAUAGUGAGGCCGGUGAUGCGGCGGUGAGUGCACACAACGCCGGUCCAGUUGGUGCAGCAGUCGGUUUUGGGGUCCCAAGAGUUGAGGAUUUGAGGGUUGUUUAAGGACUUCUUGAUCUUGAGGAGAGUAGUUUUGUCAUUUGAGUUACAACUUCUAGAACAUGGGAAGAACAUGAAGAAGAAAAAGAGAGCGGGGUUAAGAAGCUUCAUUCUCAUUGGCUCUUAACUUGCCUGUGAAGUUUCUCUUAUUUUUGAAUCAUUUAUGUUCUAAACGAGUUGAUAGUCAAAGAGGUUAUGAUUAGAUAGCAUUUAGAUGUAACAAUGAUGAUUUCAUGAGAUCAAAUGAAUCUUAUGCGCUAUCAUAUAACACCAUAUGUGUGGGUUGAAAACUUUAUUUUGAAGCAAAUAUGCGCAUUAUAUGGAAAAAUGAAUUGAUAUAUGCUUUAAAGAUAAAAGUGCCCUUGUUUCUUUGGUGGUACACUAAAAAGUGUAAUAACUGGUGGGAAACUAUGCAGAGGCAACACCCAAAGCGAUACUGAAGCUGAUGGAUUCUGAAGGACUCACAAUAUUUCAUGUUAAAAGCCAUCUACAGGUUAACUUUACUUCUUCUCUCUUUACACUUGUUUUUAAGAAGUUUUAAUUCAAUAGUUCUUGGUUAAAAUUUCAGAAGUAUAGGAUUGCGAAAUACAUCCCUGACUAUCAAGAAGGUACUCUAAAUGAAUACCAUCACUAUAUAUUUGAAUGUGAUAAAAUACAUUGAAAUUUUUUUGUCAAAAAAAGAUAAAAUACAUUGACAAUUUAGGAAUAAUGCAAAUUCAGAGAGUUUUGUUGUUGCAGGCAAGUUUGAGAAGGGAUCUUGUUCAAAAGAGCUGUCUCAGCUUGACACAAAAACGUACGUUUUUUUCCCUUCUUUAUAUGGGUACCAAAAAUAAUAUUUUCUUUAUUACUAAAUAUAUAGUCUCCAUAUAAGUCCAAAGUUAAUGACACAAUGGCUUACCGUAGCAAUGACAACAACAUACGAUUAACAUUAUUCAAAAAUAAUAAAAUAAUGAGUUGUUAAUGAUUAAAUUAAUAUUUUGUUUUGUUUUAUAUCGUGGAUGCAGUGGAGUGCAAAUUAAAGAGGCACUCCAGCUUCAGCUAGACGUUCAGAGGCAUCUUCAUGAACAACUAGAGGUGAGUUACAAAAUGUAAAUAUAUAACUUUAGUUUAUUAUAUUUUUACCAAGUAAAUGCAUUCCGAUGUUACAGUUUAAGUAGUAGUGUGUGGCAUCGAGUGCUUAUUCCAGUUUCCCACUUUAGAAUUAAUAUCUGCUUCAUUAUAUUUUGAUUUAAAAAUUAAUAUUUUUCUACAAAAUAUCUUUUUGUUUGACAAAUUUUUUUUCUAUAACAUAUCUUUUGAAACAAAUGAAGGCCAGCUUUCUAGUUUUGAGAUUGUAUGUUUGAACAUUUUGUUGCUCUCCCCAUUUUUUAUUUCAUAUAUUUAUUAUCAUCAUUCACCAAUGAAGUAUUUCUCAUACUAAUCUAUACACUUUUUAACCACUCAUAUAUUGAUUCACGUGUUUUUUUCCAUUAGAUUCAAAGAAACCUGCAACUAAGAAUCGAAGAACAAGGGAAGCAAUUGAAAAUAAUGAUAGAGCAACAACAAAAGACAAAAGAGUGUCUUCUUCUCAAGUCACCAAACGCUGAAGCAUCGUUGUCUCACUCUGCUUCUGAUCACUCUCCUCCACCUUACUCAAUUCAAGAUGCAGAAGCCCUGAUGCUAACAACUUAUGGAGACACUCAAUUCCAAUCAAAGAUAAGCUGAACAAUGAGAGAUUGGCUAAAUAGAAAAGGCCUAAUUAAAGCAUGUUUUUUUUACUCUUACUCUAUUCAAAGUACUGGUGUAAAGUUAUAAGAGUCGCGACAAGAGAAUGUCCAAAGUGCUAUACACACACUAACACUUGGAAACAGAAUCAGGUACUUACAUGUGUGCAAGUGGUGUGUGAUGGAGUCUUAGUCAUAUAUAGACUAAUAUAUAGAUGUGUGUGAUUAUUCUUAAUUAACUAUGUGCUUUUAAAAAUUCACACGAAGAGAUAGCUUCUUAAAUUAGUAACGCUACUUUUAACAUUGUGCAUGAGGAACCCCACGUUUUAUCCUUUUCCCUUUCUUAUAUAUUCUACUUUGAAUAUUCAAUUUCUUUUCAUCUUUCUUUUUUCUUCUUCUCAUUGUUCUCAAACUAAAUUUGAUUGCUCUAGUAUUAGUAUACACACUGCAUAUUAUGCUGGAAAAAAAACUGGAGAUCGUGAGCUCAUAAUAGUAGAUUGUCUUGAUAAGCUCGUUCUUAAAAUCUUGCUGCAUAAAAAUCUUUGCAUUUCUUUGCCUUAUUUACAAAGAAAAAGGCUCAGAUUGAAACAUUGUUAUGAAAUUGCCGUAAAUUUAAAUGACUUUGUAUGCUAUUUUGUGAUUGAAAACUUCUUUUUUGUCUAAAGGCCUUGAAAUAUUUUGGUCAGCCCCUAAACCGACUGAUGAUCCCUUCACUAUCACUCUGAGCCCGUCAGGGAAGAGAGCCCAUCAGAAUAAAGAAGCAUUGUGGACAAAUUGACAAACAAAAAGAACUUUAUAUUGGAAACUUUUAUUUUAAAUUUUGGAAAUACUCCAAAAUUCGUUAAAAUACAAUGAGAACUCAAGCCAAUGAUAAAAAUCAAACAAAAAUUGAAUUAACUGUUAUCUCAAAAUUGUAGUUAUAAUAUAAUUACUUUUGGUGACAAAAACUUAAAAAUGACUAUUUGGAAAAAAAAAUUGUUCAAUUGACAAACCAAAAAAUAACUUUAUAUUGGAGAUCUUUAUUUAAAUCUUGAAAAUACAAUGAGAGAACUCAAGUCAGUGAUAAAAAUCAAAUAUUGAAUUUGAUUUAAUAUUAUCUCAAAAUGAAUUUUUAGAAUAUGAUGAAUAUGCUAAACAUAAACAAAAAUUAUAGAAUCUUUAAAAUAUGACGAAAUAAUAUCGUCACACAUAAACACACAUGUCUCUCUCUCUGUCUGUGUUCAUACAGUUCAUCCAUUGAGACAAGAGAUGAAGAAGAAGAAGACACAGAGGUAAGUAAACUACAAUGUCUCUAAUCCGAAACCCUAGAUCACCCACCUCUCUUCUCAACUGGGUCUCCCACAAAGUCUCCACCUUUAAAAAACCCCAACCUCCCAUAAACCCUAGAAGAUCUCUCUCCUCCACCACCACCUCGAAACUCCCCAGAAACGAGAUUCGCAGACUAACCCAACUCGCCAUGUUCGACUACUUCUACAACAACAGAGGCCUUCAGUUCCUAAUCGCCGAGAGCCUGAGCAAAAACGCUCCUCUAUUCAACGACACCCUCCUCAACAAGCU